GUAAUAGUAGAUAAACAACAACUAAUACAAGUGGUUUGCCAAAUCAUCGGUUAGUUAGUUUUCUCCCUUGUACACAUGCAUGAUUCAGCACAACAACCUGCAUUCAUCCACACAAAUGUCGGUAUAAGUUGUUCUUCUAUUGAGAAGACAAUUUCUUAUCUAAACACCAAUUUAUACCGCUAAAGAUUAGUUUAUAACUUGAAAGUAAGCACAUCAACCUAUUCUUCAGUUAAAUGGAUUAUUCCUUAUAGAGACAUAACAAGAGAAGCCUAAAAAAGAUACAAAAAAAAAAUAAAAUAUACUUGAAAUUUAAAAAGGCAUUGUAUUUAAAAAUUGAGAGGAUAAAGAGAUAUGAUUGCUCCCUAUCAUGAGGUGAUCAAGGUUUCACGUUUGUCGGCUAAAAAGAAGCAACAUAGGUUAAGAAAAUGAAAAGAGAAAAAAAAAAAAAAUUGAUUUUUCUAUCUGUAAAAGGGGAAAAGAUGAAGUGAAAAAGAGAUGUUCCGGAGAACUUUGGAUACUACAAAUCAACACUUCAUACCGUGUCCAUGCUCAACGUAAAAUGAUAUAAAAUUUAAAAAAUAAGGAUAUCUUACAAAAGUACAGUGUUUGUCUACUAGAAUGACGGUAAUAUCUACCUUCUUAACUAUGAUCAGACUGUCAAAGUAGUUGUUUAGCUAAAUAGAUCUGAGACAGUGAAAUUUAAAUUGCCUUUCUUAAGGGGAGACAGAUUCUCACAUAAAAUUUUAUGUACGCCAUUGAUUUGUUCCGUUACUGAUCUUAUGAAAUUCUUUGUUUGCAGGAAAGCUGCAAUCCCAAGGUCAAUAUGGAAUGAGGCUUCACAGAUUCUGAUGGGAUAAGAUACAUCUUAUUGGCACUGGCUAUGCCAGGAUCACUUUACAUUGGCUCUAGCAUCGUUGGAAUUUGCUACAGAGUUCGUCUUGCCAUCUCUAUCCCAGCUGCUUGAUGAACUUUUCCAGUUUGCUUGUGGGCCAUUUGUAUGAUGCUCAGGCUACAAAGACAGUUGAUGGUGG
rnacentral:lncRNA from 1 species